rnacentral:misc_RNA from 1 species
CCGAGUUAGGGUUGCCCCCGCGCGCCCGACCUCCAACCCUUUGUCUACCCGACCUUAUUGUUGCUUCGGCAGGCCCGCCGCCCCUCGUGGGUGGCCGCCGGGGGCUUAACCAGCCCCGGGCCCGCGCCUGUCGACGGCCCCAACCACAAACUCUUGUACCUAAACGUGUCGUCUGAGUUAACAAACAAAAUAAAUUA